rnacentral:rRNA from 1 species
CCUACGGGAGGCAGCAGUGGGGAAUAUUGCACAAUGGGCGCAAGCCUGAUGCAGCAACGCCGCGUGAGUGAUGAAGGCCUUCGGGUCGUAAAACUCUGUCCUAAGGGAAGAUAAUGACGGUACCUUAGGAGGAAGCCCCGGCUAACUACGUGCCAGCAGCCGCGGUAAU